CCUGUCCGAGCGUCAUUGCUGCCCUCAAGCACGGCUUGUGUGUUGGGGUUCGCGGUUUCGCGGCCCUUAAAAUCAGUGGCGGUGCCGUCUGGCUCUAAGCGUGGUAAUUCUCUCGCUAUAGGGUCCAGGUGGUUACUUGUCAGAAUCCCCCACUUUUAUAGGUUGACCUCGGAUCAGGUAGGGAUACCCGCUGAACUUAA
rnacentral:misc_RNA from 1 species